ACUCCUACGGGAGGCAGCAGUGGGGAAUAUUGCACAAUGGGGGAAGCCCUGAUGCAGCCAUGCCGCGUGUGUGAAGAAGGCCUUCGGGUUGUAAAGCACUUUCAGUAGGGAGGAAGGUAGUGUAGUUAACACCUGCACUAUUUGACGUUACCUACAGAAGAAGCACCGGCUAACUCCGUGCCAGCAGCCGCGGUAAUACGGAGGGUGCGAGCGUUAAUCGGAAUUACUGGGCGUAAAGCGCAUGCAGGCGGCCUGUUAAGUCAGAUGUGAAAGCCCGGGGCUUAACCUCGGAAUUGCAUUUGAAACUGGCAGGCUAGAGUCUUGUAGAGGGGGGUAGAAUUUCAGGUGUAGCGGUGAAAUGCGUAGAGAUCUGAAGGAAUACCAGUGGCGAAGGCGGCCCCCUGGACAAAGACUGACGCUCAGAUGCGAAA
rnacentral:rRNA from 1 species